rnacentral:rRNA from 1 species
GGGGAAUUUUGGACAAUGGGCGCAAGCCUGAUCCAGCAAUGCCGCGUGCAGGAUGAAGGCCUUCGGGUUGUAAACUGCUUUUGUACGGAACGAAAAGCCUCUCUCUAAUACAGGGGGGUGAUGACGGUACCGUAAGAAUAAGCACCGGCUAACUACGUGCCAGCAGCCGCGGUAAUACGUAGGGUGCAAGCGUUAAUCGGAAUUACUGGGCGUAAAGCGUGCGCAGGCGGUUUUGUAAGAAGUGGUGAAAUCCCCGGGCUCAACCUGGGAACGUCCAAUGGGACUGGAAGGGUGGAGUGCGGGAGGAGGGGAUGGAAUUCCGGGGGUAGCAGUUGAAUUCGUUGGUAUGCGGAGGAACACCGAUGGCGGAGGCAAUCCCCUGGGCCUGGACUGACGCUCAUGCACGAAAGCGGGGGGAGCAAACA